UUGACCUCAAAUCAGGUAGGACUACCCGCUGAACUUAAGCAUAUCAAUAAGCGGAGGAAAAGAAACUAACAAGGAUUCCCCUAGUAACUGCGAGUGAAGCGGGAAAAGCUCAAAUUUGAAAUCUGGCGGUUCCUUGGACUGUCCGAGUUGUAAUCUAGAGAAGUGUUACCUGUGCUGGACCGUGUACAAGUCUCCUGGAAUGGAGCAUCACAGAGGGUGAGAAUCCCGUCUUUGACACGGACUGCCAUGUGCGAUAUGGUGCGCUCUCGAAGAGUCGAGUUGUUUGGGAAUGCAGCUCAAAAUGGGUGGUAAAUGCCAUCUAAAGCUAAAUAUUGGCGAGAGACCGAUAGCGAACAAGUACCGUGAGGGAAAGAUGAAAAGAACUUUGGAAAGAGAGUUAAACAGUACGUGAAAUUGCUGAAAGGGAAACGCUUGAAGUCAGUCGCGUCGGCUAGAAAUCAGUCUUGCUUCUGCUUGAUGUACUUUCUGGUUAGACGGGUCAGCAUCAAUUUUGACCGCCGGAUAAAGUCGUCGGGAAUGUGGCAUCUUAGGAUGUGUUAUAGCCUGUCGUCGCAUACGGUGGUUGGGAUUGAGGAACUCAGCAUGCCGCAAGGCCGGGUCUUCUGACCACGUUCGUGCUUAGGAUGCUGGCAUAAUGGCUUUAAUCGACCCGUC
rnacentral:rRNA from 1 species